GAGCGAUGGCAGAGUGGUCGAACGCGGCGGUCUUGAAAACCGUUAUACUCUUACGGGUAUCGGGGGUUCAAAUCCCUCUCGCUCC
rnacentral:tRNA from 1 species